GAAAUGCGAUAAGUAAUGUGCAUUGCAGAAUUCAGUGAAUCAUCGAAUCUUUGAACGCACAUUGCGCCCGCCAGUAUUCUGGCGGGCAUGCCUGUUCGAGCGUCAUUUCAACCAUCAAGCCCCCGGGCUUGUGUUGGGGACCUGCGGCUGCCGCAGGCCCCGAAAACCAGUGGCGGGCUCGCUGUCACACCGGGCGUAGUAGAUUUUUCGUCUCGCCCAGGGCGUGCUGCGGGUUCCGGCCGUUAAAAAGCCUCUCUUUUAACCCAAGGUUGACCUCGGAUCAGGUAGGAAGACCCGCUGAACUUAAGC
rnacentral:misc_RNA from 1 species